GGGCGGGCUCCGAAAGGAGAGCGUGGUGUCUGGAGGUGAUCGGAAGGGACUGGCUGGAGUGUGGCGGGCUGACAGGUCUGAGGCCUGAAGGACUUCCGGGAACCGCAAAGCACGGUGUGCCUCCGCUGUCCUGAAGAAAAAGCCGCGCGCGGACGACUGGCCGGCCCGCGCUUGCAGCUCCCAGAAGUUGACAGGCAUCCUCCGGUGACCGGUGUGAGUAUGGCAUCAGGAUGAUUUGACUGCAAGCAACAGAAAAAUCAAACAAAAAUGGCCUAAGCCAAGAAGAGAAAUGAUUAUUUCACAUUCCAAGAAGUUUGGGAGUCGAGUGGUUAAACGGCUAAUUAAUCUAGAGCUCAACAGUAUCACCCAGGACCCAUUUUCACUAUGGUGGCUAAAGCUCUGCACCCUUCAGGCUUGCACCAUGGCAGCAGCAGUGACAGUAAAGACACCCUUACACCACAAUGCUCCAUGACCAGGGAGAGGGUCUCCUCUCUCCUGCCCCUUUCUGGAGGCUCCACCGAAGAUUUCUCUUCACAUUCCGUUUCUCAUUCCUGAAGCAGUUGCUGGCAACAGGGAUGGACUUACCGCAAUGGGUACAGAGCAACUAAGAUUCACCACUAGGCAGCACUUUAUGGCUUCUCUUGGGCAUAUCCAAAUUGCUACCAUCACUACUCGUAUUAGUCCAUUUUCACGCUGCUGAUAAAGACAUACCUGAGACUGAGAAAUUUACCAAAUAAAGAGGUGUACUGGACUUACAGUUCCACAUGGCUGGGGAGGCCUCACAAUCAUGGUGGAAGGCAAGAAGGAGCAAGUCAUGUCUUACAUGGAUGGCAGCUGGCAAAGAGAAAGCUUGUACAGGGAGACUCCCGUUUUGAAAACCAUCAGAUCUUGUGAGACUCAUUCACUAUUACAAGAACAGUGCAGGAAAGAUGCACCCCUGUACUUCAAUCACCUCCCAGCAGGUUCCUCCCACGACAUGUGGGAAUUGUGGGAGUUACAAUUCAAGAUGAGAUUUGGUUGGGGACACAGCCAAACCAUAUCACUACUCUUGUGCUUUGGGGCCAUUAUGAAGUAAAACAAGCAUUAUUUGAACACAAGAACUGCAAUACCACCACAGUAGAUCUGAUAACUGUUGGCUACUAAGUGACUAAGGGGCAGGUGAAGUAUACAGCUUGGAUGCGAUGGACAAAGAGGAAGAUCUACCUCCCAGCUGGGAUGGAGCAGGACGAUGCAAGAUUUCAUCACACUACUCAGAAAGGCAUGCAGUUUAAAGCUCGUAAAUUAUUUCAGGAAUUUUCCAUUUAAUAUUUUCAGGCUGUGGCUGACCGUGAGUAACAAACCCAGGAAAGCGAAACUGCAGAACAGUGGAUGGGAGAAAGGGUGAAUUACUGUAUAUUCAUGAGGGAUAUUAGUCCAUAGUUUCUUUUUUCCCUUUUAACAAAUUUUUGGGUUUUGUAUAUAGUUUGUCUGGUUUUGGUAUCAGGGUAAUACUAGCUUCAUAAAAUGAAUUGGAAAGCGUUUCUUCUGUUUUCCUAAAAAGAUUAUAUGGAAUUAGCAUUCAUUCUUUAAACACUUGGUAGAAAUCUUAAGUAAAACCAUCUGAGCUCGGAGAUUUUUUUGUGUGUGUUAUAAAAUUACAUAUUCAGUUUCCUUAAUAUUUAUAAGAUCAUUUUAAUUAUCUGUGUUUUUCAGUGAAACGGGUCAAUUUUCUGUAUGUUGUCAAAUUAAUAUUUGUAGAAUUGUAUUAGUAUUCUUCAUUAUCCUUUUGAUGUCUGCAGAAUCUGUAAUGGUAUCCCUGUUUUAUUUCUGAUAUUAAUUUGUGCCAUUAUGUCUUUUUUUCUUUGUUGAUCUUGUCAGAAGUUUGUCAAUUUUAUCAAUUUGUUCCAAGAACCAGCUCAUUGAUUUGGUUUCAGUUUCAUUGAUUUCUACUUUUAUCUUUAUUAUUUCCUUCUUUUUCUUGCUUUUGGUAUAUUUUGUGCUUCUUUUUCUAGGUUCUAGAGGUGGAAGCAUACGUUAUUGAUUUGAGACCUUUCCUCUUUUCUAAUGUGAGCAUUUUAGUUACAUUUAGUUCCCUCCUAGGACUACUUUAAUUGGAUUAUUGAGAGGUGUUGAAGUCUCCAACUGUAUUUGUGGAUUUAUUUAUUUUUCCUUUCAGUUCUAUUAGUUUUAGCUUCACAUUAUUUUGCAGCUCUGAUGUUUAAAGGUGCAUGAACAUUUAGGCUCACUAUGUCUCAGUGAAUUGACCCUUUUAUCAUUACGUAAUAUUCCUCUCAGUCUCUGGUCAUUUUCUU
ensembl:lncRNA COX10-DT COX10 divergent transcript